AUACGGAGGGGGCUAGCGUUGUUCGGAAUUACUGGGCGUAAAGCGCGCGUAGGCGGCGAAGCAAGUUAGAGGUGAAAGCCCCGGGCUCAACCUGGGAAUGGCCUUUAAUACUGCUUUGCUUGAGUUCGGAAGAGGGAAGUGGAAUUUCCAGUGUAGAGGUGAAAUUCGUAGAUAUUGGAAAGAACACCAGUGGCGAAGGCGACUUCCUGGUCCGAUACUGACGCUGAGGUGCGAAAGCGUGGGGAGCAAACAGGAUUAGAUACCCUAGUAGUCC
rnacentral:rRNA from 1 species